UGUAAUUUUACAUUAUAGUGAGAAUUAAAGUAUUAGUAAUUUAUUUUUGUUACUAAAAUUAAAUUCAGUUUGUUCCUGCAUGAAUCUUUUUAGUACUAAACUGCUUUGGAACGAAUUUUUUGGGGGACAACAGCAAGAUUAGGGCCAUCUUCUAGAUGCCAUCAGGUAGGUGCGCUAGCGUAGUCGUUUGUUGUAGCAUUAUCCCUUUUCCCCCUUUUUAAAAAAUGUUUGUAAGACGCCUGAAAUUUGUAUAAGUUAGUUAUAUAAGUAGUUGAAUAAGAAUUGGUGAGACAUGGAAAGUAGAACAGGACAGAGAAGAUGAAAGAGGAUUGCUUUGAAAUAGAAGGAAAGGAGAUAGAAGAUGUUUGAGGAAAGGAGGAGGAUUUUGUUCGCUGUAACGGAAGUUUUUUGAAUGAAAUUUGGAGCAACUGUAUUAAGAUGUUAUUGGUAUCUUGGACGUCAAGUUUCAUUUAUUUACGUAUUAUACAAGCAUAUCUAUUGGUGGAAAUGUAGAAUGGCAGCUGUUAUAACAACUUGGAUGAAUUAUUAGACACACCAAAGAAGUUUUGACAUAAUUUAAACUGGGAAAAGGCUCACCGAUGACCAAUUUAUUCUACAGUAGAUACAGGACAUUAAAUUGACUUCAACAACGCAGAUAUCUCUCAAAAAUGAUAUCUGUUCGAGUAAUGUACUGGGCGUUGACAGUUGCUGUUACAAAUCUGCAAAUGAGUUAGAACUGUACAUAAGUUUGACGAAUGCCGGAGGAAUUUUUUGAAUAAAAUGAUACUGAAAAUCUCACCCACAAAUGACAAUUUCAAGAUACAAUCAAUAGUACUUAGAUUGACUGGCCUUCAUUACCAUUGCGCUAUGAAAAUGUAAGCAAAACAAAUUGGUAUUAAUGGACGUUUUGACAGCUGUUUCCAGUCCAAGUUCCAGUUUUAAUGGAAAACCUUUAAUGGACACAGAAAAAUGCCAUUUACUGGAUUGACUUCAACACCUGUUGCCUUUUAAUAAUGGCAUACGAUAGGACAAUGGCUAUUAGAAACCGAUAAGACAUACUAGCUGCAAAUAAUAUGUAUGGUGGUUAUAAAAGAGAUUUAAAUGAAAUGAGAGAGAGAAAAAAACCAUUUUGAACUGCUGUUACUUAAUAGCUGUUAGAGGAGAUUCAGUUCUUCAUCAAUGGUAUACGAUGGGACAAUUGCUGUUAAAAAUCCACAAGCCAUACUAUCUGCAAAAAUUAUGGUUGAUAGAAAAAAGCUUUAAAUGGAAUGAAACUUGUGCAGAAGAAAUUAAGAAAAACCAUUUUGAACUGCUGUUACUUAAUAGCUGUUAGAGCGGAUCCAGUUCUUCAUCAAUGGUAUACGCUGGGACAAUUGCUGUUGAAAAUCCACAAGCCGUACUAUCUGCAAAUAUUAUGGUGGUUAGGCUUUAAAAAGCUUUAAAUGGAAUGAAACUUGCAGGAAAAGACUCAGAAAGACCAUUUAGGACUGUACUUAACAGCUGUUGAAAAGUGGUGGCAGUCCUUUAUCAAUGAUAUCUCCGCAUUUUCUUAACAGUGGAUAUCAACAGUUGCUCCUACUCCUCACUUUCCUCUUUCACUCAACAUAAACCUGACUCAAUACUCCUCAAUGCCUCACCAAGGUUCGUUAGCUUCAUUAAUAGUGUUAUUGUUUCAAUAAA
rnacentral:lncRNA from 1 species